rnacentral:miRNA from 12 species
AAAGUAUCUACACGAGCAGUAUUUCACCUUUUAAAAACAAAUUUUCUUUACUUAAAUGUGCGUGUGCAUAUAUAGACAUAUGUGUGUGUGUGUGUGUGUAUAUA